rnacentral:misc_RNA from 1 species
UACGUAGGGGGCGAGCGUUGUCCGGGUUUAUUGGGCGUAAAGAGCUCGUAGGCGGUUGGGUAAGUCGGGUGUGAAAACUCAGGGCUCAACCCUGAGACGCCACUCGAUACUGCUCUGACUCGAGUCCGGUAGGGGAGCGUGGAAUUCCCGGUGUAGCGGUGAAAUGCGCAGAUAUCGGGAGGAACACCAGUGGCGAAGGCGGCGCUCUGGGCCGGAACUGACGCUGAGGAGCGAAAGCGUGGGUAGCAAACAGG